rnacentral:rRNA from 1 species
GGGUUGUGAGGUUAAGCGACUAAGCGUACACGGUGGAUGCCCUGGCAGUCAGAGGCGAUGAAGGACGUGCUAAUCUGCGAAAAGCGUCGGUAAGGUGAUAUGAACCGUUAUAACCGGCGAUGUCCGAAUGGGGAAACCCAGUGUGAUUCGUCACACUAUCGUUAACUGAAUACAUAGGUUAACGAGGCGAACC